AGAUAUUUCCCACCGGGGAAAAAUAAAAGAUAGCUGAUACUUUCGUUAGGUCUUAGAAGAAAGUAUUAACUAUCUUUUUUUCUU
rnacentral:ncRNA from 1 species